UCGAACGGUGAAGCCCAGCUUGCUGGGUGGAUCAGUGGCGAACGGGUGAGUAACACGUGAGCAAUCUGCCCCUGACUCUGGGAUAAGCGCUGGAAACGGCGUCUAAUACUGGAUACGAGUAGUGAUCGCAUGGUCGACUACUGGAAAGAAUUUCGGUCAGGGAUGAGCUCGCGGCCUAUCAGCUUGUUGGUGAGGUAAUGGCUCACCAAGGCGUCGACGGGUAGCCGGCCUGAGAGGGUGACCGGCCACACUGGGACUGAGACACGGCCCAGACUCCUACGGGAGGCAGCAGUGGGGAAUAUUGCACAAUGGGCGGAAGCCUGAUGCAGCAACGCCGCGUGAGGGAUGACGGCCUUCGGGUUGUAAACCUCUUUUAGCAGGGAAGAAGCGAAAGUGACGGUACCUGCAGAAAAAGCGCCGGCUAACUACGUGCCAGCAGCCGCGGUAAUACGUAGGGCGCAAGCGUUAUCCGGAAUUAUUGGGCGUAAAGAGCUCGUAGGCGGUUUGUCGCGUCUGCUGUGAAAUCCCGAGGCUCAACCUCGGGCCUGCAGUGGGUACGGGCAGACUAGAGUGCGGUAGGGGAGAUUGGAAUUCCUGGUGUAGCGGUGGAAUGCGCAGAUAUCAGGAGGAACACCGAUGGCGAAGGCAGAUCUCUGGGCCGUAACUGACGCUGAGGAGCGAAAGGGUGGGGAGCAAACAGGCUUAGAUACCCUGGUAGUCCACCCCGUAAACGUUGGGAACUAGUUGUGGGGUCCAUUCCACGGAUUCCGUGACGCAGCUAACGCAUUAAGUUCCCCGCCUGGGGAGUACGGCCGCAAGGCUAAAACUCAAAGGAAUUGACGGGGACCCGCACAAGCGGCGGAGCAUGCGGAUUAAUUCGAUGCAACGCGAAGAACCUUACCAAGGCUUGACAUAUUCGAGAACGGGCCAGAAAUGGUCAACUCUUUGGACACUCGUAUACAGGUGGUGCAUGGUUGUCGUCAGCUCGUGUCGUGAGAUGUUGGGUUAAGUCCCGCAACGAGCGCAACCCUCGUUCUAUGUUGCCAGCACGUAAUGGUGGGAACUCAUGGGAUACUGCCGGGGUCAACUCGGAGGAAGGUGGGGAUGACGUCAAAUCAUCAUGCCCCUUAUGUCUUGGGCUUCACGCAUGCUACAAUGGCCGGUACAAAGGGCUGCAAUACCGCGAGGUGGAGCGAAUCCCAAAAAGCCGGUCCCAGUUCGGAUUGAGGUCUGCAACUCGACCUCAUGAAGUCGGAGUCGCUAGUAAUCGCAGAUCAGCAACGCUGCGGUGAAUACGUUCCCGGGUCUUGUACACACCGCCCGUCAAGUCAUGAAAGUCGGUAACACCUGAAGCCGGUGGCCCAACCC
rnacentral:rRNA from 1 species